CCGGCCCGGCCCGGCCCGGCCCACCCCGAGCGCCGCCGCCGCCGCCGCUGCCACGGGCCGCCCGCCCCCCCGGGCGCGACGCGUCGCUCGUCCCCGCCGCGGUGCGGGCGCGCUGCCCCACUGCCGGGCCUGGGGGCCGCGCCCGGCUGCCGGUAGCGGGCGGCAACGCACGGCGGCCGCAGGGCGGAGAGGGGCCGUGCCGAGCCGCUGCGGAGGUGGGGGGGCAGAUCUGGCGCGGCGGCGUCCGUCACCGCGGCGUCCCGCCCGGCUGGUUCACAGGUGAUGUGGCCACGCUGUAUGCUUCUGUUGGCUUGAUGGGAGGAAUGACACAGCAGGAUGGACAAGCGGCUGGGUGCACUUAGGAACAGCACCAUUUCCUUCAGUGGCGCAGGUACCCUCUGAAGACCGUGGACCUACAGCCACAGGGCCUGACACACACUGAGCGGUGUGUCCUUGGUGCCGGCGGUGGGCUGAGCCGAAAGCCUUGCCGGCGGCGUGGUGCUCUUCCCAGCGGUGACUCCACUAGGUGGUGCCACCAGAAAAGUGACGGCGCUUCACCGGGUUCCCCGUGACGCAGUUUCCAUCAUUACAACUCCUGGGAGCAGCAAUUACACACCAAGGUCCGAGAGCGCUGGGUGCUGAAGAAACACGAACCAAGAAGAACCCGAGCACAGCAAUAGCUAGUGGAUAGUGACACUGCAAACAGCGAAUUUUGGAAUAAUAGCUCUAGAUAAAUAUUUAAACUGUUCCCUGUACUGCAACCAAUACCUUGCCUGACCCAGAACAUUCCACACUUAAUUAGUUCCUGCAGAUUCUCUUAGAUAACAGAUCAAGUUCCAGGUGGAAUUUGUGUGGUAGAACGCUUGUAUUACAACACACUCUAUGGCUUUUAUAAUAAGGCAAAUAUGCAGAUAAGGAAAAGGCUUGUAAUUACCUCUCUGAAUAGCUGCAAGGCAAUCUCUUAUAUUAAAGGAAAUGGGAAAAGACCGGAUAGACAUGCUGGUUCUGUAUUCUUCCUUUUUGGUAAGAUGGUUCAGUAAGUAAUUUUCUCUGUAAUUUUUGCCUUGCGUGUACAACUAUAAACACAAUUUAGACUGCGGGAUAAACAAGAAUUUAUGAUUUUUUGAUA